AGAUGCCAUCCAGGCGCACGGCGGGUAUAGUGGUUCCGCAACCUUGGGAUGUUCGGCUGAGCGCCUGCCUAACAUGGGAGCGCCUGCCUAACCCUCCUGACUGGAGGGUCAGCGGCGGGGAGUCCUGGCCUUCAAUCGGCCAUCGCCACGGCAGAAACUGGGGCCCGGGCUGCGUCCAGGCCCUUCCCCGUCCGUCCACAGGUCUCAUGGGCGCCCGGACUGGGGCUGAUGUAGUUUCCCGACCUCUGACACAUAGGAUCUGGAGAUUAAAGCUGCUCUGCUAAUAAUUAGGUUCCCACCUCUCAAGAUCAUUAGGAGCUUCUUUUCCAAUUCCUCUGUUUUGCAUGCAUUGGAAGAUUCACAGGCUGCUCCCCAGAAUACUGAAGAAGAAACUCUAGGAGUGAGACCCAACAAUCUGUGUUUAACAAGUCCCCAGGCCCCUGGAUCCUCCUGGAAUCCCUGAUCCCUGUUGCUCCCUGGCGGAGUUUUCUAGUCCCUCUUACUUGAAGCAUGUCUUUCAGAGCCCGGCACCACCCAAGUUGGGUAUCUGAUACCCCAUCAGCCUGAGUCUCUUAAAGGCCUUUAUACACAUAUGUCUACACAUAGGGAUUUGGAUGAUCUCGGGAUCCCACAUCCUCGCUGUCCCCUGUCCCCCCACAACAUCCCACACCAAUACCUUUCUGAAGUUUUCUAGUCCCUCCUUUUUGUUUGUGGUCCUUAAAGCCCAGCCCCAUGCCUGACUUUGGUUCCCAGUGAGCAUUGUACAUUUGUGGAUAUUAAAUCUUUGGCAAAGUCAUUUACCUGGGCUGGAA
rnacentral:lncRNA from 1 species